rnacentral:RNase_P_RNA from 1 species
GCAGCAGGCCGGUCUGUCGCUGAUCCUUUUGUGGAUGGGAGGAAAGUCCGGGCAACAUAGAGCGCCAUUCUUCCUAACGGGAAGCUGUCUGUGAGGGCAGAGUAGUGUAACAGAAAAUAACCGCCCUGAGCUUUCGGCCGACGGUUGGUAAGUUCGCGAUUGGCGAGCUUGUCGAACCAUAAGUUUGCCGGAAUGUCGAAGGGUAAGGGUGAAAAGGCGAGGUAAGAGCUCACCGCUCCUGUCGUAAUACGGGAGGCUGUACGCCUAAUGGGUUGUAAGGUCAUGUAUACCGACGCUUGUAGGAUGGCUCGUCCGAUGUCGGGGGGUAGACCGCUAAGAGCUUGCCGGUGACGGUCGGCCAAGAUAAAUGACAGACACUUCAUAGCCUUCGUGGCCGUGAAAUACAGAACCCGGCUUACAGGCUUGCUGCAUUU